UAUUUGAAGAAGAUAAGGUUCAUAGAAAAGUCCAAUAACAAAGAAGGGCUUUACUCAUCGCCUAAGUAGAUGUUUGACUCAGACACGCGUACGACAAAGAUCCGAUGCGCAUAUGCGGCAGUGGCGUCGUCUCAUUGGUCGAUGACGGCGGUUGACAGCUGGAACUCGGUCAAAGGGGGGAAGGACCGAGUCCGUGGCGAGAUGCAUGGUGGGUUUCCUUUCACCUUCGGUGGGCCCCUAUUUCUGGUGUACUUCACAGCGCGCAUCAGUUUACGGUGUCAGAGAUCAAACAGUAAAGAGUUGAAAUAUAACGCUAUACCUAUUUAUUGUGUGGGAUAAAAAUAAGGAUUAGCAUGUACUUAAUUCAAUUUGCAGGGAUUAAAAAUACUUGGGAAGAUAAUUCUUGCGGGUGGGAAUUAAAGCCAAACUUGGGAUCCAAAAGACAGUCAAUUUGAAAAUAAAUACAUUGCUAACUACAAUUAGUCACAUUAGUGGAGUGAUUUGCACAAUCUUAAAGAUAAUGAAAGACUAUAAAACUCUUUAGAUCAUAUCAAUAAAGGCACAAAAAGGGUCUUCUAUAUUUUCAUCGUUAUGUGGGGUCGAGAAUAGCUGAAUAGGCCUUUAAUUUCUAUUAAAGAGAGAAUUCAAUAAUCACAUGCAACUUUCUGAAAUGAAAUGGACCCAACGACAACAUCGUACACCAUUCCUUGGACUACGUUUGAAAACAUAUUUAUAUUUUUAAUAUGCAGUUAGAAUAAAAAAAAUAUUUGAGUAAUUGUAGAUUAAUGCAAGUGUUAUUUGAUAAAUUUAUAUUUUUAAAAUUGUAUUCAAUAUUUUAAAUAAAUUUACCUAUUUAAAAAUAAAAUAAUAUAUAUAUUUUUAUUUAAAUAAAUAAAUAUAUGUAAUCUUAUAAUAAAUAAAAUUUUUAUAAAUAGUAAAAAAUAAUUUUAAAAUAAAAGCAUUUUCAUUCAUUUUCAUUUUUAUAGAACAAUAAAAAAAAUAAUAUUAACUAGAGGUUAGCAUCAAUAUUUAAGUAUUUUUAAUCUGACAUCCAAACUAGAUGCAAUUAAAAAUAUUAUCAAAUACCAAUUUAUAUUUUAAAAUAUAUAUUGGGCCCUCAAUAAAAUAUGUUCCUAAAUGUAGCCUUAUUGGAUGUUGAUCAUUAUGUUAUAUUUAAUACUAUAGAGGAAAGGACAUUAAAAUGAAAGCAUGAUGGGGUUUAGUGAGGCAUUACAAACUGUGGAUGAUUACAAUAUAUGGGACUUUGAUAAGCUUGAUGUCACGAUCAACCUUCUAAAAGAAAAUAAAUAAUGGGAGCAACUUGAGCAACACUAGAGGAUACAAAAGAAGGCUUAGUGAUGAUAAUUUGGUCUGCGCCCUGACAGCUUCCAUGUAUUGAUUGAAUAACAAAAUGCAUGAUUGUUGUUUACCGACAUCUAUCAUGUUGUCAUAAUAAAAUUAGUCCAAAUGCAGAACAAAGUGAAUCACAACAUACAGCAUAAAAUAAGAUGCAUAAAUCAUGAUGUCAAAUGAGUGACACCAUACCAACAGCUAAGCCAAAAAAAGGCAGGAUGUUGAGAGUGCUCGAACAAAGAGUCUCUUAAGUAUGCAAUAAACAAAUCAAGAAACAUAUAAUUCUAAAAGAAAAAAAAGAGAGAAAUUUCCCUACCGUAUGAUAAUAUUUGCAUAUAGAUCCUGUCCAGGUAUUAUAAUCAAUAUUUGGUUUAUUUUGGGUAUGUAGGAUCAUAAAAUCAUGAGAUUAUAUGAUAUAACUUGAGAUUCUAAAGAAAGUAUAAUGCUAGACUUGUUUCCGGUGUCAAAUUCUUAUCAUUCCUGAUGAUUUGUAGAGAUUAUAAUCAAGUAAUUCAAGUGCUAAACAAAGCAGUGAAUUCAAAUAUCCAAUAUUUAAAGAUGAGCCUAAUUCAUUAUAUCAAAACUGCAUAGCAGAUGGAAAGAAAAGCAAGAAAGAUGUAUUACCUGAACAAGUCAUUCUUGGCAUUCGGUAUAAACACCGAAGAAAUCACGUAAAAUUUGGUUCCACAGAUAUAAGACAGACUCUCCUGUCCUUUCUCGUGCUUGACCAACACCUCAUGUGGCUGUGAACGUAGCCUAGACAAUGUCCUCUCUGCGAGCAAUUAACAGGGGUGAUGAUCGGAGGCAGCUCUCUUGGCAUUGUAGGAACAAAUCGGUUCUGAAGCAACUGGUAUUUGCAUUAGUUAAUAUGCCAAAGAUUGGAGUGAAUGGUGCUACUUGUAAUGACCUUGAACUUGGCCCAGAAAGUCUUACAUUCUGCAAAAUGUGUCUCACCAUAGAUCAGUUGGUAGAGAUUGCAACAAGGAUAUCAGAUGUCCAAUGGUCGCUGCUCAUUACACAUGAACGUUUCUGUGAAUCCUGUGCAGAUAGUUUGAUGGACCGCGAUUUGGACAAUACCAAUCCUGUACAGAUAGUUUCCUUAACUCUUAACAAUAACCACCACCCUGCAAAUUGGCAAAUACCAAACGUUAAAUUGCGAGAAGUAUCUGUUGUCAGAGUACUUCACAUAGAUACUAGGCAUGAGUUUCAUCAGAUGCGUAAAUUUCUAUGGUCAUGGCAAAAGUUUGGAAGCAAAACACAUCCAUUUUGAGUGUCAGAGUUGAUAUGAAAAGAUUCAAUAUGGUGUACGGUAGAUAAACUAAAUAGUUAAAACUGAACUUCUAUAGCAUACAUUGAAUGUAAAAUUAAUAAAUAUGUAUAUAUAUGUAUAUAUGUAUAUACAUAUAUACAUAUAUAUACAUAUACAUAUAUAUACAUAUACAUAUAUAUACAUAUAAUUAAAACCCUUUUCUCAAUGAUUUAAUAUAGAAAAAGUGAUGUACUCGAUCGAAGAAGGACAGUACAUGCCAAUUCCUAAGAGAUGGUUCAAGGAGCAACUGUACACAUAAGAGAUCAGAAUACUCUGCAGUACAUGAUUCAAUGGUGUCAUUUUGGACCAGCCACGCUUCUUUAGCUUACAGAUUGCUUUCCAGAAAGGUACAAAUUCGUUCACCAACUCUAUCUAUCACAGACUUAGUAGGGAUAAAUCUUGAAUGAAGAAUGUUGAGUGUUGACCAAACAAAUACCUCAUAAUUAAAAUUAUCUUUGCUCCACAUAAACAAAGCAAUAAAUCCUUGUUAUCAGAGGAAAUGGCAUGGAGAGAGGCAGCAUCUUAAGCUAGUUACUAUAAGUUUCUCAAAGCAGCCUAUCAGAGCAUACUGACCUCGGACUUGAUGAACCAAUCGAUAUCCGCGUCGAUCCGCCGCACCUCGCGAUCAAUGUCCUCGUCGAUCGUCGGGAGGAUGAUAAGAGGCCACUCCCCGGACGAAGAUGCGACCCUUCGGUCGUCCAAUGAGAGCCCUAACCCAGUGGAGACCGAUCGCGGCUGGAGGAAAGCUGCGAGUUCUCCAGGAGGUCCUGCUCCUUGGGGCGCUUCCUCUUCAGCACCCAGCAGUUCCAUCCGCCAACGACAGCGGCCGUGGACC
rnacentral:lncRNA from 1 species